rnacentral:rRNA from 1 species
AGUGAACGCUGGCGGUAGGCCUAACACAUGCAAGUCGAACGGCAGCACAGUAAGAGCUUGCUCUUACGGGUGGCGAGUGGCGGACGGGUGAGGAAUACAUCGGAAUCUACUUUUUCGUGGGGGAUAACGUAGGGAAACUUACGCUAAUACCGCAUACGACCUACGGGUGAAAGCAGUGGAUCUUCGGACCUUGCGCGAUUGAAUGAGCCGAUGUCGGAUUAGCUAGUUGGCGGGGUAAAGGCCCACCAAGGCGACGAUCCGUAGCUGGUCUGAGAGGAUGAUCAGCCACACUGGAACUGAGACACGGUCCAGACUCCUACGGGAGGCAGCAGUAGGGAAUAUUGGACAAUGGGCGCAAGCCUGAUCCAGCCAUACGGCGUGGGUGAAGAAGGCCUUCGGGUUGUAAAGCCCUUUUGUUGGGAAAGAAAAGCAGCAGGUUAAUACCCCGCUGUUCUGACGGUACCCAAAGAAUAAGCACCGGCUAACUUCGUG